rnacentral:rRNA from 1 species
UUAAAUUGAAGAGUUUGAUCAUGGCUCAGAUUGAACGCUGGCGGCAGGCCUAACACAUGCAAGUCGAACGGUAACAGGAAACAGCUUGCUGUUUCGCUGACGAGUGGCGGACGGGUGAGUAAUGUCUGGGAAACUGCCUGAUGGAGGGGGAUAACUACUGGAAACGGUAGCUAAUACCGCAUAAUGUCGCAAGACCAAAGAGGGGGACCUUCGGGCCUCUUGCCAUCGGAUGUGCCCAGAUGGGAUUAGCUAGUAGGUGGGGUAACGGCUCACCUAGGCGACGAUCCCUAGCUGGUCUGAGAGGAUGACCAG